UACGGAGGGAGCUAGCGUUGUUCGGAAUUACUGGGCGUAAAGCGCACGUAGGCGGCUUUGUAAGUUAGAGGUGAAAGCCCGGGGCUCAACCCCGGAAUUGCCUUUAAGGCUGCAUCGCUUGAAUCCAGGAGAGGUGAGUGGAAUUCCGAGUGUAGAGGUGAAAUUCGUAGAUAUUCGGAAGAACACCAGUGGCGAAGGCGGCUCACUGGACUGGUAUUGACGCUGAGGUGCGAAAGCGUGGGGAGCAAACAGG
rnacentral:rRNA from 1 species